UUGUUCAGUGAAAUAGUCAGUGACUGACUAGUUGAUUUCUUUUUAGUUAGCGAGAGCUGCUUCAUUUUGUGCAGUAACGUGGCGGUAUCCUUAUUGUGUAUCGAGCUAAUCUCCGAAUUGUCUGCCUUACAGAAUUUGCUUCUUCAAAUUGAUGAAGAAUUCAACAUUUUUGAAGUGCACUUCAUUUGUAGGUCUCGAGUCUUCCUUUAUAUAUAUAUUCCUGCAAAGACGUCAGCUGAGUCAAAAGAAGGAGAUCUUAAUUCCUCUUAUAGUGGCCAUAGAUUUGCAGUCUAUGGCUCCAAUUGAAGGUGUUAUCCAGGUUCAAGGGGACAUGACUUAUGCCCGGACUGCUCAAGUGACACUUUGACGGCUGUAAAGCGGACCUGGUUGUCUGUGAUGGUGCUCCAGAUGUUACCGGUUUGCAUGACAUGGAUGAAUUUGUCCAGUCCCAACUCAUUCUAGCGGGCUUAACGAUUGUAACCUAUGUUCUUAAAGAAGGUGGAAAAUAUAUUGCAAAGAUAUUCCGCGGAAAAGAUACAAGUCUCUUGUACUACUGAACUGAAGUUGUUUUUCCCAACUGUGACUCGAAACCGAAAAGCAGCCGCAAUUCGAGUAUAGGCGGUGAUGGAAAUCAAAAAGAUGACAAAGAAGACUUGAUGCAAAGAUUCAAAGGUGGUUCCACGUCUCAAUCUCAGAUGCCCCUUUUGUCGUCUAUCUAUAUGUGUGUAUAGAGAUGUUUCUACAGAUAGAAAAAAUGGAAAGGAUGUAAUUAGUGAGUGGAAUCAUUUAUUAUUGCUUCCUGCUCUCAGAGAGUUAUUUAUCCCCUAGCAACAGUUUUGUAAAAAUGUUUUUGCAAUUCAAGAGAGACCUUUGGAAGAUGAGAACAAA